ensembl:lncRNA
CCCUCCUUUUCAGUCUUAAUUUCAACAAAGUUUGAGAAGCAUUUUGUAGCUACCUUUUCUGAUGGUAAUAGGAAUGCACAUUCCCAGGUCAGGCGAGGAUUUCUUUGAUAAGCCACUCAGUGUGCUACUGCUGGACUAGGCCUGUCAAAGGUAGCCACGAGGCUCUGGACCGCCUGUCUCACUAGUCUGUUAUGAUCCAGGAAAUGGUUCCCUCUUGUUGCUUCUUCCCAUACCUAGAGUUACAUUGUGACAGUCAUUGAUCUUAAAGAAUUGUAUCUAUUAUUAUUAAUUUUUUUUUUGUAUUUUUAGGGCUGCACCCGCAAUACAUGGAGGUUCCCAGGCUAGGGGUCCAAUCCUACACCACAGCUCACAGCAACACGGGAUCCUUAACCCAGUGAUCGAGGCCAGGGAUUGAACCCACAUCCUCAUGGAUGCUGGUCGGUUUCAGUUAACUGCAGAGCCACAACAGGAACUCCAAAGAAUUGUAUCUUUGAUCAAUCAUUUCGAGUCACCUAAUCAUCAUUAAUUUUAUCACAGGCUCAGCCGCACAUAUGGUAAUUCAAGAAAUAAUGAGUUUAUAAAAAUAAGCAGAAUACAAGUAAUAUAACUAGUAACACCAAUAAGGUCAUAAGUAUUUAAAGGAAGAGCUUCCAUUAGGUGUGGCCCAGUAUCUCCCCAGGUUGUCUGACCUGUCGGUUCUGCAUUAAUUGCUGUGUUUAAGGGAAAAGAUAAACUGCUAUUGUAGGUAAAGCUCAGCAAAGAUGUCUGUAGGUACAAAGUGAGUGCUGGGUCAUUGUGACCCCUUAGGGACUGAUGAAGGAAUGUUAUCUUCUAAGGAGGUACAGGGCUGUCGGAAGAACAAUUGAACUUUAUGGUUGAGCAGAUAUUUCUGCCCCUGGGGAGUCUGGCUAAUGCACAACGUGGGUACAGAAUGCACGGUAGAGGGGAGGGAGGAGGCCAAAGGGCAGAGAAAAAGGUUAUGUUUAAAUUUUCCUUGUCUUGCCUUAAAAUAUAAAUGUUUAUUUCAUAAUGCAUGUACACAGAAACACAAUUUCUCAUACAAUUUCAGUGAGUUUAUAAAAUAAACUGAAUAAACACCCUGAAUAAAUUGCAGUUAAAGAUGACCUGAUUACUUUCCUUUUUUUUCUUUUUUCUUUCUUUUUUUUUUAGGGCCAUACCCGAGGCAUAUGGAGGUUCCCAGGCUAAUCCCCCCUGAUUCCAGGGGUCUAAUCGAAGCUGUAACUGCCAGUCUUCACCACAGUCAUAUCAACAUGGGAUCCAUGCCACGUCUGCAACCUACACCACAGCUCAUGGCAACACCGGAUCCUUAACCCACUGAGCAAGGCCAGGGAUGGAACCCACGUCCUCACAGAUACUGCUUGGGUUCAUUAACCACUGAGCCUCAAUGGGAACUCCUUAAUUACUUUCUCUGCCAAACUCUCUGUUCCUAAAAUUUUGGUCCCUAAAUUUUAGCUAAAGUAAAACACACUUGGGUGUCCUCGGUAAAAUGCAAGAUCUACUCUUUUUGGGUAUUGGCAAAUGAAUCAUCCUCAUAAACUACAUAAAGCAUAUACGAAUUGUGUACCAGAGAAGCCAACAUUUUUAUUCAUUCCUUCCUUCCUCUGUUUGUUAGUCACUCAUUCAUUUAAAAUACAUUUGUUUGCUGAGCACUUGCUAUUUUAGAGUAACACUUUUAUGUAAAAUCAAUUUCCAACUUCAAGAGUCAAAGCAAUUGCAGUUCCUGCUGUGGUACAGCAGGUUAAGGAUCGGGGUUGUCCGUGUUGUCUCUGUGACCAAGCUGGCUCGAUCCCCAGCCUGGUGCAGUGGGUUAAUAAGGAUCUGGCAUUGCCACAGCUCUGAUGUGGGUCACAGCUGCAGCUCAGAUUUGAUCCCUAGCCUGAGAACUUCCAUGUGCUGAUGGUGCAGCAAAAAAAAGGCAGUUAAUGGCUAUAAUUGAUAUUUACUUGCUUUUUAGGGCCACCCCCAUAGCAUAUGGAGGUUCCCGGGCUAGGGGUCGAAUCAGAGCUGUAGCCUCUGGCCUAGCCACAGUGACAGCAACACAGGAUCUGAGCCUUAUCUUUGACCUAUACCACAGCUCCCAGCAAUGCCGGAUCCUUAACCCACUGAGCAAGGCCAGCAAUGGAAACUGCCUCCUCAUGGAUGCUAGUCACAUUCGUUUCCGCUGAACCACAACAGGAACUCUUUUAUUUAUUUACUUAAUCUUUUUUUUUUUUUUUUUUUUGCACAAGCCACUACAAUGACAGUGCCAGAUCCUUAACCCACUGAGCCACAAGGGAACUCCUCUCUUGAGUUUUCAGAUGACCAGAGUGGGAGAAAGAUGGUCCCUCCAGAAGGAAUAGCAUUUGCAAAGAUCCAGAGUUGGGGAGAAGUAAGGUGUGUGGAAGAGCUUAUCACUAUUGUGUCUGGGCUGGUGUGGAUCAUGACUAUGGAGGCCAUCACAGGAGGUGCAGCGAGGGUCAGUUCACAGAGGUCCUGCUAUGCUGGUCUCAGGAAGUUACUCCUUAAGUUCAGUGGGAUGUGGAGCCUCUGAAAGCUAGUUAGCAGGGCAUGACAUCAUCAAAUUUGCAUGUGGUGUGGUGGGGCAUGGCGCUAUUCACACCUGUUCCUGGAGAGUGCGUCUCUAUCACAUGCAUUUAAACCCAGAAAACAACAGUAAUGAAUGUAAACUAUAAACGGUUUGCUUUUAAUAUGUUAAAAUAGGUACUUGGCUGCACCUUUACACAACAGCAGUCUGUGCUGCUUGCUUUCGAGAGUGUUCUUUUGAAUGGCGUUAUCACCAGAGCUGUGGGCGAAGCAUGCAUACCCCACACCCCAGCUUAUCAGAGUACCAGCCUGGCACCUGAUGGAACCUCUAAUACCAGUGGAGGUUCAACUAUUGUGAUUGUUUAUCAUUUUAUAAUUUUCCCACUUCAUGUUUGGUUUUUCCAGUGAGUAUAUUUUUAGUUUAAAAGGGAUAGAAAAUAUAAACAUGUCUAGAACAUCAGUGUUAUUAAAUGGAUACUUUAUUUACUCACAUAUUUAUAAUAUGCUUUUAUGAAGAUAAUGCCCCUUCCUCAAUUAGUGCAUGGUGUCUUUGUUUUACUUUCCGGCUAAAUAUGCAUCAGAAUUUAGGGUAACUCAAGGGAGUAGGUAAUGCAUACAAAUGUCACUUGUUAUGGUAUAUAGCAACAGAAAAAAAAAUUAAGUCCAAAAAACACUGGGGUAGUAAAAAGAAGACAAAUUUUGACAACAGACAGAUCUGGGUUCAAAUCCUAAUUCUGUUAGUUACCAGAUAUGUAACUUCAGGUAAGAUAUUUAACCUCUCUCAAACUUGUUCCCUUUUUGUAAAAUGGAACUAACAAUAAUUUCCCUGCAAGGUUGUUGUGAUCAGUGAAAGAACAUGUAUUCAAAGCCUUGUAUAGGUGUUUUAAAAGUGGUGAU